rnacentral:rRNA from 1 species
GUCGAACGAGAAAGCACCUUCGGGUGUGAGUAAGGUGGCGCACGGGUGAGUAGCACGUGGGUAAUCUGUCCUUGGUGUCUGGGACAACACCUCGAAAGGGGUGCUAAUACCGGAUAAGACCACGGCCUGUUCGCAGGCUGCGGCUAAAGGUGGCCUCUCCAUGGAAGCUAUCGCCCGAGGAUGAGCCCGCGCCCCAUCAGCUUGUUGGUGAGGUAAGAGCUCACCAAGGCUUAGACGGGUAGCUGGUCUGAGAGGAUGGUCAGCCACACUGGAACUGAGACACGGUCCAGACUCCUACGGGAGGCAGCAGUGGGGAAUAUUGCGCAAUGGGCGGAAGCCUGACGCAGCGACGCCGCGUGAGCGAUGAAGGCCUUCGGGUCGUAAAGCUCUGUUGGAAGUGAACGAAAAAGUCCAUGGUUAAUAUCCAUGGACCCUGACGGUACUCUUCCAGAAAGCACCGGCUAACUCCGUGCCAGCAGCCGCGGUAAUACGGAGGGUGCUAGCGUUGUUCGGAAUCAUUGGGCGUAAAGCGCGGGUAGGCGGGGCGGCGUGUCGGAUGUGAAAGCCCUCGGCUCAACCGAGGAAUUGCAUCCGAAACUGUCGCUCUUGAGUACGGGAGAGGGAAGCGGAAUUUCCAGUGUAGAGGUGAAAUUCGUAGAUAUUGGAAGGAACACCGGUGGCGAAGGCGGCUUCCUGGACCGAUACUGACGCUGAGACGCGAAAGCGUGGGUAGCAAACAGGAUUAGAUACCCUGGUAGUCCACGCAGUAAACGAUGAGCACUAGGUGUUGCGGGUAUCGACCCCUGCAGUGCCGAAGCCAACGCAUUAAGUGCUCCGCCUGGGGACUACGGUCGCAAGACUAAAACUCAAAGGAAUUGACGGGGGCCCGCACAAGCGGUGGAGCAUGUGGUUCAAUUCGACGCAACGCGCAGAACCUUACCCGGGCUUGACAUCCUGGGAAUCCCCGAGGAAACCGGGGAGUGCCUGCUUUGCAGGAGCCCAGUGACAGGUGCUGCGUGGCUGUCGUCAGCUCGUGUCGUGAGAUGUUGGGUUAAGCCCCGCAACGAGCGCAACCCUCGUCCUUAGUUGCCAGCAUUCAGUUGGGCACUCUAAGGAGACUGCCGGU